GAAGGACUGAUAGAUAAAGUCAACGAGUUGAAGUUGGAUGACAAUGAAGCACUUAUAGAGAAGUUGAAACAUGGUCAGUUUACGUUGCGAGACAUGUAUGAGCAAUUUCAAAAUAUCAUGAAAAUGGGCCCCUUCAGUCAGAUCUUGGGGAUGAUCCCUGGUUUUGGGACAGAUUUUAUGAGCAAAGGAAAUGAACAGGAGUCAAUGGCAAGGCUAAAGAAAUUAAUGACAAUAAUGGAUAGUAUGAAUGAUCAAGGUAAGAUGGCAGAUUAUUUUCCUCAGGCAAAAAUGUUCUGAGUAUCAGUAAGAUGAGAGUUUCACUGUAUUCUUGUGGACAAGAUGGGGAGAAAUUUAGCCUGAAAGAUUAUUUUUAGGUAGAUUUGUAAUAGCUUGAAAGCUCUUACUCAAAGGGUUAUGAUUAUUGGAUUGCCUUCAUCGUUGAGAGAAAUGUCUAGUAUAAUACUUCUCCAAAUGAGUUACAAGGAAAGAACACUAGUUCUUCAUGAUGUUCAUAGAGUUAACUUAAAAGGAGAACUCUGAGUCAAAUGUGGUGGAAUGCUAGUUUUUAAAGAG
rnacentral:lncRNA from 1 species